AAACUCCGGUCGAUAUUGACCCCCAGA
rnacentral:sRNA from 1 species